GUUAGACGGGGCCCGGCACAAGCGGUGGAGCAUGUGGUUAAUUCGACGCAACGCGCAGAACCGUUUACCUGGGUUUGACAUCUCGGGAAGUCUUGUGGAAACACGAGAGUGCCCUCGGGAGCCGAAGACAGGUGUUGCAUGGCUGUCGUCAGCUCGUGUCGUGAGAUGUUCGGUUAAGUCCGCUAACGAGCGCAACCCUCGUCGUAUGUUAUAUGUGUCAUACGAGACUGCCGGUAAAAGCCGGAGGAAGGUGAGGAUGAUGUCAAGUCAGCAUGACCUUUAUAUCCAGGGCUACACACACGCUACAAUGGUCUGUACAAUGGGUAGCCAAGCCGCGAGGCGGAGCCAAUCCUGAAAGCAGGUCUCAGUUCAGAUUGCAGUCUGCAACUCGACUGCAUGAAGCCGGAGUUGCUAGUAACCGCAGGUCAGCAAUACUGCGGUGAAUACGUUCCCGGGUCUU
rnacentral:rRNA from 1 species